rnacentral:rRNA from 1 species
GUCUACGGCCACGCCACCCCGAACGUGCCCGAUCUCUGCUCUCGGAAGCUAAGCAGGGUCGGGCCUGGUUAGUACUUGGAUGGGAGACCCCCUAGGAAGACCAGGUGCUGUAGGCA